GUGCCAGCCGCCGCGGUAAUACAGAGGGUGCGAGCGUUAAUCGGAAUUACUGGGCGUAAAGCGCACGUAGGUGGCGACGUAAGUCGGGUGUGAAAGCCCCGGGCUCAACCUGGGAAUUGCAUUCGAGACUGUGUCGCUGGAGUACGGAAGAGGAAGGCGGAAUUCCCGGUGUAGCGGUGAAAUGCGUAGAUAUCGGGAGGAACAUCAGUGGCGAAGGCGGCCUUCUGGUCCAGUACUGACACUCAAGUGCGAAAGCGUGGGGAGCAAACAGGAUUAGAUACCCUUGUAGUCC
rnacentral:rRNA from 1 species